GGAGCUGGCCAGGCAGCCGCUGCGCCGCAAGGCGUGGAGGAAAGUCCGGGCUCCACAGAGCGGGAUGCGGGGUAACACCCCGGCGUGCAUAAACGCCGCGCAAGCGGCGCGAAGACGACGAACAGGGCCACAGAGACGAGUCCCCGGCCUCAAAACCCGGGGGGUGAAACGCGGCAACCUCCAUCCGGAGCAACACCAAAUAGGCAAGCGCCCGAGGCCUGCUCGGCCGAGCUUGCGGGUAGGUGGCUUGAGCCUUGGGGCAACCCCGGGCCCAGAGGAAUGGCUGCCAGGGCAUGGCCCUUGCGGGAUCAUGCCUACAGAACCCGGCUUAUCGGCCGGCUCCCAUU
rfam:Betaproteobacteria bacterium RIFCSPLOWO2_02_67_12 rifcsplowo2_02_sub10_scaffold_2258, whole genome shotgun sequence.